UCAAAAGUAAGUCAGUAUCUGCUGUGGCCACCAGCUGCAUUAACUUCUUCGGGGUAGGGGGCAGCAUUUUCACUUUUGGAUAAAUAGCAUGCCCAAAUUCAACUGCCUGCUACUCAUCCCCAGAAUAUAAGAUAUGCAUAUUAUUAGAAGAUUUGGAUGGAAAACACUCUGAAGUUUCUAAAACUGUUUGAAUCAUGUUUGUGAGAAUAACAGAACUUAUGUACCAGGCAAAACUCAGAGGACAAACCAUUCAACAUUUUUUUGUUGAGGUCACUGUCUUUUCAAUGAGGUUUCAUUGGGAAACCAGAUUUCUAAGGGACUUGUUUGCAGUUCAUACCGCUUCCACUGGAUGUCACCAGUCUUUGGAAAUUGGUUGAGGUUUUUCCUUUGUGUAAUGAAGAAGUAUGGCCAUCUUAAAUGAGUCACUUGAAGUAAAUUGUUUGAGAGAGGCACAUUACCAGAAAAGUUGCGUCAGAUUGUUUUCUUUUUGUAUUGAACACAGAUCAUCCCGUCUUCAAUUUGAUCGAUUAUUAAUGUUUAAAAAUACCUAACGUUGUAUUACAAAAGUAGUUUGAAAUGUUUUGGUAAAGUUUACAUGUAACUUUUGAGAUAUUUUGUAGUGACGUCGCGCAAGUUGGAAGCUGUGUUUUUCUGGAUGAAACGCGCCAAAUAAAUUGACAUUUUGGAUAUAUAUCGACGGAAAUUAUCAACAAAAGGACCAUUUGUGAUGUUUAUGGGACAUAUUGGAGUGCCAACAAAAGGUAAUCUUGUUGCUAAUUUUUCAAAUAUGCUUUUCAGCGAAAGCACUACAAACGAUAAGUUUAGGUCACACCAAACCGCAAUAAGCACAGCCAUUUUUACAGGGAAAGAAAGUCACAAAAAGCACAAAUAGAGAGAAAAUGAAUCACUAACCUUUGAUGAUCUUCAUCAGAUGACACUCAUAGGACUUCAUGUUACACAAUACAUGUGUGUUUUCUUUGAUAAAGUUCAUAUUUAUAUAAAAAAAAUCUGAGUUUACAUUGGCGUGUUACAUUCACUAGUUCCAAAAACAUCCAGUGAUUUUGCAUAGCCACAUCGUUUCAACAGAAAUACUCAUCAUAAAUGUAGAUGAUAAUACAAGUUAUACACAUGGAAUUAUAGAUCUUCUUAAUACAACCGCUGUGUCAGAUUUCAAAAAAACUUUACAGAAAAAGCAAACCAUGCAAUAGUCUGAGACGGAGCUCAGGACAAUAGUCAAAUUAGCCGCCAUGUUGGAGUCAACAGAAACCAGAAAUGACAUGAUAAAUAUUCCCUUUGAUGAUCUUCAUCAGAAUGCACUCCCAUGAAUCCCAUGUCCACAAUAAAUGCUUGAUUUGUUCGAUAAUGUCUGUUAUUUGUCCAAUUAGCUACUUUGGUUAGCGCGUUUGGUAAACAAUUCCAAAGUCACGAAGCGCUUUCACUAAAACCUGAGGAAAUGUCCAAAAGUUCCGUAACAGUCAGUAGAAACAUGUCAAACGAUGUAUUGAAUCAAUCUUUAGAAUGUUGUUAACAUAAAUCUUGAAUAACGUUCCAACCGGAGAAUUACAUUGACUUCAGAUGAGCGAUGGGAACGGAGCUCCCUCUCAUGUGACGCGCGUGGUCAAAGAAUGGUCACCUCAUGGCAGUGGUGACUAAUUCUACUCUCAUUCGGCCCCCCUUCACAUUAGAGUCAUCAGACAAAGUUCCACAGACUGUUGACAUCUAGUGGAAGCCGUAGGAAGUGAAUACUCAUCUUUGCGUGUCAAAAAAGAUACAGUAGCACUGUCAAAGCUAUACAAAAAAAGUCUGCAAACAAGAAAAUACCGUCAACGAAAGAUUUGUUUACAAUACCGCGUUGGUAAUAAAGCAUAAUUUGUUCAACCGCAACUUCUGGGGUAGCUAGCUUUAGCUUAGUACCUAGCUAGCACCAAUACAACCAGCCUGAAUAGAAUGACCAGUAGAAACUGCAGUCAUUUUCAUUAUUCUUAGCAAUGAUUUAGGAAUCCUUGUAAGUAUAAGCUAGGUUGCCACUUGUUGUUUGCCUAUUGAAAUUGAACUUCAGUUCAUGAAAAUUAUUAGCUAGCCAGCUACUUAACCCUGUUGCCCAAACCUAACGUUAUAAGCAGCCAGCUAGCUUCAUCUGGCUAGAGAUGCUCGUCUGGAUCGGGUUAUGUGUUGUGAAGCUAGCCACAAAGGAUUAGGCACAAUAGUGGCAUUUGCGGUUUGCCUCAAAUAAAAGUACCUCUUUGAAAGUGAUGCAAAAGGUUACAAUUGGUGGAAUCAUGCCAUAUUUAGACUAGAUAAUGUUAAACAAGGUUGGAAUGUGAAACCAUGAAAUGGGGUAUGUCACUGACAGUGAUGCAAAUGAAUACAAAUAGUAGAAUUAUGCCAAACUUUUUUUAGAAUUAUGCCAAACUUUUAUUUUGAAGGCUAACUGCAAAGUCCACUAUUGUGGCUUAUCCUUAUUGUGGCUAGCUUCACAUAUGUGUCCGACCACCAUUAAUCAAAUAAGAACUGUUUUAUAAAUUAGGGUUAUUUUAGAUGAUGAAACCUAGCUAUAUAGUUAACUAGCUAACUAUAGCUACUGAAACACAUUAUGUCGUUAUUUGACACUUCAAAUAGUGUUAUUUGACCUAUCAUUUUGACACGCAAAGACCCAAAUGGCGUUCCAUAGAGAUCCUGGUUGAGAAUGAAACGGUCUGAACAAAUGAACAACAAAACAACACAGCAAGUCAAUUAAAGAAAUAGGUUUUGAUUAUGUUUUACUGGUAAUGGGGACAUGCAUAAAUGCCAACAAAAUAACUUUUUGGUCUGUGUGUGUAACCUUUUAUUUAACUAGGCAAGUCAGUUAAGAACAACAUCUUAUUUACAAUGACGGCCAAACCCGGACGAUCCUGGGCCAAUUGUGCGCUGUCCUAUGGGACUCUCAAUCAUGGCCGGAUGUGAUACAGCCUGGAUUUGAACCAGGAACUCUAGUGAAGCCUCUUGCACUGAGAUGCAGUGCCUUAGACCCUGUGUCUGUGUGUGUGUGUGUGAUAACUAUUCGACUGUACUAGAAUGCUUGAAAGGCCGCUAAAAUUAAUUAUCGUUAUCGUCUUUUUUUGGCAAAGAAAAUAUCUGAUAUCGGUAUCGGCCAAAAAUGUCAUAUCGGUGCAUCACUGCUCAGAAUGUGCAAUAUCGUCAUUGAUGUGGUCUUUGUCUCUUUCUGUUCUCUCCACUAGUUUUCAAAGACUUGGUUACAGAGAUUGACUCUACCCUAGUGCCCCUACUCUUUCUACUCACAUUAGUGUAACCCUCUUAUUUGUCAGUCACUCAAAGAUUGUGGGUGGGAUAGGAUCAUUCAAGACAAUGGUUGUCUCCACGCAGUCGCUAUAGAAGUAGUAAUGGACUAAUCACAUAUGGUGUUCUGUUGUAAAAACACCAGACGUGCCAUUGUAAAAUAAUCCCUUAGCAAUCCUUACAGUAUAUACUGCUGAAAAAAUGGCAGUUCUUUUCAAAUAUCUCACAUAGAGAGAGGAGAGCACACAUAAUGUAAUGCAACAUACCUGUUACUGAAUGAUUGAAUCAAAAAUAGUUUUUCUGCUGCUGUGAAUAAUUACCCCCGGAGAGUGAUAAGGGAAUGUAGACCGUGUAGUUUAUAUGUAUUAGGGCUGUCCUCGACAAAAAAAACCUCUUGGUCGACCGAGAGUCAUCUGUUCUUUUGACCAAUCAAUUGGUCAACAUUUUGAAACGUAUUGUUCCAUACUGUAUAUUGACACAUCCUAUGCGUUUUAAUCAAAUAAACUAUAUGCACUGAGCUUGUCUGAUGCUUUAAGCGCUCUGUUUAGUGAAAUAAGACACACACAUUACUAGAGGGAGUCCGACUGCAAUUGAUUUGAUUGUGCUGGGCUCAGACUUGCUGCACUGUGGAAAAAAAAAAAAAAGAUAAUAAUAAUAAGUACAGCGAGUGACUGUGACUAGCAUCCGUUGUCUGUCUCUCCUCCCUGCUGCAGCGACCACCGCAGAACAUCAACAGGGUUUAUCGCACUGUCCAUGUUGGAGAAGCUGCAACAUACAGUGCAUUCGGAAAGUAGUCAGGCCCCUUCCAAUUUUCUUUUUUUUACUUUACAGCCUUAUUCUAAAAUUGAAUUAAAUAAAAAAUCCCCAUCAAUCUACUCACAAUACCCCAUAAUGAUAAAGCAAAAACAGGUUUUUAGAAAUGUUUGCAACUGUUAAUAAAAAAUAAGUAUUCAGACCCUUUACAAAGUACUUUUUGAAGCACCUUUGGCAGCGAUUACUGGCUUAGAUUUUCUUGGGUAUGACGUUACAAGCUUGGCACACCUGUAUUUGGAGAGUUUCUCUCAUUCUUCUCUGCAGAUCCUCUCAAGCUCUGUCAGGUUGAAUGGGGAGAGUCGCUGUACAUCUAUUCUCAAGUCUCUCCAGAGAUAUUAAACUCAGGGCUCUGGCUGGGCGACUCCAGGACAUUGAGACUUGUCCUGAAGCUACUCCUGUGUUGUCUUUUCUGUGUGCUUAGGGUCGUUGUCCUGUUGGAAGGUGAUCCUUUGCCCUAGUCUGAGAACCUGCUCCAGAGCGCUCAGGACUUCAUCAAGGAUCUUUCUGUACUUUGCUCCAUUCAUCUUUCCCUUGAUCCUGACUAGUCUCCCAGUCCCUGCUGCUGAAAAACAUCCCCACAGCAUGAUGAUGCUGCCACCACCAUGCUUCACUUUAGGGAUGGUAUUGGCUGGGUGUUGAGCGGUGCCAGGUUUCCUUCACAUGUGACUCUUGGCAUUCAGGCCAAAGAGUUCAAUCUUGGUUUCAUCAGACCAAAGAAUCUUGUUUCUCAUGGUCUGAGAGUCCUUUAGGUGGUUUUGGCAAACUCCAAGUGGACUGUAUCGUGCCUUUUUACUGAGGAGUGGCUUCCUUCUGGACACUCUACCAUAAAGGCCUGGUUGGUAGAGUGCUGCAGAGAUGGUUGUCCUUCUGGAAGGUUCUCUCAUCUCCACAGAUUAACUCUGGAGCUCUGACAGGGUGAUCGAUUUCUUGGUCACCUCCCUGACCAAGGCCCUUCUCCCCCGAUUGCUCAGUUUGGGUGGGCGCACAGCUCUAGGAAGAGUCUUGGUGGUUCCAAACCAAUUUUUUUGAUACCCUUCCCCAGAUUUGUGCUUCGACACAGUCCUGUCUCGGAGCUCUACGGACAAUUCCUUCGACCUCAUGGCUUGGUUUUUGUUCUGACAUGCGCUGUCAACUGUGGGAUCUUUUAUAUAGAGAGCUGUGUGUGUGUGUCUUUCCAAAUCAUACAAUUAUUUAAUCCAUUUUAGAAUAAGGCUGUAAUGUAACAAUAUGUGGAAAAAGGGUAGGGGUCUGAAUACUUUCUGAAUGCACUGUAAUGUUAAUAGACAUGGGUACUCCAGUGAAAAUUUAAUAUUUUGGCAAAUGAAAUUAGUUUUUGAUCAAAACCCUACGUCCCUAUGCUUUCCAUUAGCGUCUAUCAGGUUAGCAGCACAUUGAAGUUCAAAGACUGAUGUGAAUCGUGACGAUAUGCAUUACACAAAGUAUCCCAUCCAGAAAUGUCAUGUUUGACCCUAAGAAGGUGAGGUGGAGCAGUGAAAGUGAAAUGUUUGCACUCACUACUGUAAGUCUCUCUGGAAAGCAGAAACCCCUCCUCCCGAAUGAAGUGUCAUAGCAUGGUGACCAGGGCUUUGAGUUUUUUAUUCAAAUGUGCAAUCUGUAGCUUUCAUCUCCUGUCAAAAGUUUGGCCCCUACACUUGCUGUAAACUGAGGUAGUGGAGGCCGUGGCAAAUUUAACUAUUCGUUUUUUGUUUGACUGAAUGUGUUUUCUAGUUGGCUUCCCAUUUUCUUUUGAACUGGUGAAAUGUAAGUAAAUUUUUGUACCUUUUUUAAACCGCAUGAGAGAUCAAUUGCUGGGGUUCACAACGGGUGGGUCACAACGAGUAAAUGAAGGUUCGGUUUGGUUACAAUUAUGUCAACAAAUCAUGCCUCCUUUUGCCAAGCUCCACGUUCAAAUCACCCCUCCGUCCACUUCGCUUCCCUUCAUUGAAUGGGGCGCUGUUAUUUCAUCACCUCCAAUGCGUUCAAAGGAUCAAACAUUUAAGACUGAAAAGCCCAAUACGGAUUGACCAUGCAAUGACUGCUUGAAGCAGGAUGCACAGCCAGCUGGUUUGCAUGCCCUGCUGAAGGACCCUAUCAUGCAGAACAGGUGGUUGGAGUUCCCUGGUCCCCAGUGGUGGCCCUCCCAGUCAUCACCACCACAUAAGAUUGCCUGCUGCAGUUUGCAGCCAAACAUGCAGCAUAGGGAAGACCAGCAAUGGGGCCCUCAUCAGCAUCAUGCAGACAUGCCCUCGCUGGAAGCAUUCCUGUGAAUGGAACGGUCAGCAACAUGUGGGCAAGAAUCCGGCAAGCAACCUUCAACAGGAACAGAUUUUACAGGCUCCUUAUUUGUACAAAUACACAAGAUACAUGAGGUACAUAGAGACCUGACACUCAACACAUUCACAAUGAGAUGGACUGGAGAUGCUAUUGCCAGACUGCAGCCUCAGUCAAUUGAUGGGGAGACCAUAAUUGGCAAGGUUCAAUCUGACCUGUUCAAGCUUCAACAUAGUACCGAUCCUAACUGCCAUUGGUAAUGAAACAGUGACUGUGUGCACGUGUUCACAGAAACAUGUAUGGAACCAGCACAUGGAGACUUGCAAGUCCAGACUGACAGACAGCCUUGAUACUGAUGUCUCUGAAUGGAAAGACCUGGCGUUCAAAUUUUACUGCACAAUUUUGAUUUGUACUGUCUUUUUUUUAUUAGUGAAUUGAAUGGUAUCAGUCAAAUUGUAUUGUGCACCAGGAUCAGGGAACUCCUGUUCUAUACGGGACACCACACAGGAAGGUAUGUCCACUCUGACAUGUUUGCCAAGGUAGCCCCAUUAUGACAUAACAUUGAAGGUUGUGCAAUAUUUAGACUUAAGGAUGCCACCCUUUAGAUAAAAUACAUAACGGUUCCGUAUUUCACUGAAAGAAUAAAUGUUUUGUUUUCGAAAUGAUAGUGUCUGGAUUCGACCAUAUUAAUGACCAAAGGCUCGUAUUUCUGUAUGUUAUAAUUAAGUCUAUGAUUUGAUAGAGCAGUCUGACUGAGCGAUGGUAUGCAGCAGCAGGCUUGUACGCAUUCAUUCAAACAGCACUUUCAUGCGUUUUGCCAGCAGCUCUUCCCUGUGCUUCAAGCAUUGAGCUGUUUAUGACUUCAAGCCUAUCAACUCCAGAGAUUAGGCUGGUGUAACCGAUGUGAAAUGGCUAGCUAGUUAGCGGGUUGCGCGCUAAUAGCGUUUCAAUCGGUGAUGUCACUCUCUCUGAGACUUGGAGUAGUUGUUCCCCUUGCUCUGCAAGGGCCGCGGCUUUUGUGGAGCAAUGGGUAACGAUGCUUCGAGGGUGGCUGUUGUCGAUAUGUUCCUGGUUCGAGCCCAGGUAGGGGCAAGGAGAGGGAAGGAAGCUAUACUGUUACACUGGCAAUACUAAAGUGCCUAUAAGAACAUCCAAUAGUCAAAGGUAUAUGAAAUACAAAUGGUAUAGCGAAAAAUAUUCCUAUAAUAACUACAACCUAAAACUCUUACCUGGGAAUAUUGAAGACUCAUGUUAAAAGGAACCACCAGCUUUCAAAUAUUCUCAUGUUCUGAGCAAGGAAUUUAAACGUUAGCUUUUUUACAUGGCACAUAUUGCACUUUUACUUUCUUCUCCAACACUUUAUUUUUGCAUUAUUUAAACCAAAUUGAACAUGUUUCAUUAUUUAUUUGAGGCUAAAUUUAUUUUAUUGAUGUAUUAUAUUAAGCUAAAAUAAGUGUUCAUUCAGUAUUGUUGUAAUUGUCAUUAUUGUCAUUAUACAUAAAUUUAGCAAUUGCUUUCUCAUAUUACUCUGUAGGCUACUGAUGUAUUCAACGCUUCCUCUGGCAUCUCACCAUACAUCUGUCUGUAGUUAUUGAACUCAACCUGCAGGAUGUUUGUUGUGAUUGAGUGGGGCGAAACAGCUGUGGUCAAGGUUCUGACAGAUGGGUGUGUCUUGGUGUUGGCAAGGAAAUACCCAAGAAACACCCACAUCAAACCACACCCCCAAGCCAACUCGCGUUUGGCUUCUGUCAUGGCCGCCAGCAUUUCUUGAGGAAGCCAAAAACGUGAUACAGAGUCUUUACUCUAUCUGCUUUGAACCAUCAGACAUUGGUUUUUGAUGUGCGUGCAGAAUAGGGGGUUAAUGUCAACAAAAGCGGUGCUAUUUGCUAUCAUCUAUCUUCUUCCCUUUCAGGAGAAGUAUUCUACAAAACAUCCUUUAGAAUCACACUGACAGCUGUUAUUAGUAUUUUAAUGAGCUGUCUCCGCUUACUGUUUCAGGUGCUCUCGCCGAGACUCAUACCAGCCCAGUGUCAAAAAACUGGUUUGACUGUUCCAAAACACAGAGGGAAACAAUAAUUACUGCUUAUGUUUUAAGGACGGUGGAUUUGUACCUCCACUUCUUGUGUACCUAGCCAUCUCCAGUGCUAAUAGCACACUGAGCCACCUUCUUAGCUCACCAUAAGUCUUUCCUGUUCAAUGUGAAACCCUCACUUGUUUGCUCUUUCACAGCCGUAAUGUAAUUGAAAGCUAACAGAACAUGAUGCUUCGCCCAGCAAAUGACAGGUCUCCCGAUACCAUGUUUCCCUGAAAUUGCAAUUCACUUCAGACCGGGGUGUCAAGUAGAGGUCUGAGUGGGACUGAUUAUUAUUAUUUUUUCAUCCCACUCCUGGCUGCACCUGCAGCUUUACAUACCACUGGCUUUCUGUCCGACUCGCUCUCACAAGAACUGGUCCCGAACCCAACCGCAGUCCCGCAAUGUUUUUUUUAGGUGUAUGUGAUGCAACUCGCUUGCCAGCCAUGGUCCCGGCAAUUUCAAAUCAAAAUCAAAUGUAUUUGUCACAUACACGUGGUUAGCAGGUGUUAAUGCAAGUGUAGCGAAAUGCUUGUGGGUCUAGUUCCGACCUUGCAGUAAUAUCUAACAAGUAAUAUAACCUAACAAUUUCACAACUACCUUAUACACACAAAUAUAAAGGAAUGAAUACGACUAGGUACAUAAAAAUAUAUAAAUGAGUGAUGUCCGAAAGGCAUAGGCAAGAUGCAGUAGAUGGUUUCGAGUACAGUAUAUACAUUUGAGAUGAGUAAUGUAGGGUAUGAAAACAUAUAAAGCGGC